GGGCCCGUAGCUUAGUUUGGUCGGAGCACUCGGCUGAUAACCGGGGGGUCGUGCGUUCAAAUCGCACCGGGCCCA
rnacentral:tRNA from 2 species